UCGAAUGAAAAUCAUGAAUACAUCAAUGCCUCAAUUGCUCCAGGGGCCCAUGGGACAUCAGCUGGUCUCGCCACGGGCCUAUGCAUAAGAUCCCCUUGAAGACGCUCCAAGUCACUCAUUAUUUGGCGGACAAAGGUCAAUACAGCAACAAAGAAGGUGGUUCUAGUCAUGUUUUCAUAUUUGUGGCACUUCAUAACGAUGUACUCAGCAAUGGAUUGAACCCCCUCCUUUAUGGUACCUUUUUCUUGGAGCAAAUGCUCUAUUUGCUGAGUCCGAGCCCUUAAAACUUGUUCAGCCGUAUGGUUUUGCUGUUGAAGCUGUUAUAUGUCUUUUUCUAGCUGCGACAUCAGGGCAUAACAAUGUUCUCUUUCUGGUUGAAAUCUUUUGCCUGCUUAAUCAUUUUGUUCUCGAGGACGGCGGUCUUUAUCUUCAACCCAACGACUUUAUUUUCAUAUUUCUCUUUUAACUGUUUAACCAAGCGCGCUCGUUC
rnacentral:lncRNA from 1 species